rnacentral:rRNA from 1 species
CCUACGGGAGGCAGCAGUGGGGAAUUUUCCGCAAUGGGCGCAAGCCUGACGGAGCAACGCCGCGUGAGGGAUGAAGGCCUCUGGGCUGUAAACCUCUUUUAUCAAGGAAGAAGAUCUGACGGUACUUGAUGAAUAAGCCACGGCUAAUUCCGUGCCAGCAGCCGCGGUAAUACGGGAGUGGCAAGCGUUAUCCGGAAUUAUUGGGCGUAAAGCGUCCGCAGGCGGUUUUACAAGUCUGUCGUUAAAACGUGGAGCUCAACUCCAUUUCGGCGAUGGAAACUGUAAGACUAGAGUGUGGUAGGGGCAGAGGGAAUUCCCGGUGUAGCGGUGAAAUGCGUAGAUAUCGGGAAGAGCACCAGUGGCGAAGGCGCUCUGCUGGGCCAUAACUGACGCUCAUGGACGAAAGCUAGGGGAGCGAAAGGGAUUAGAUACCCCUGUAGUCCUAGCCGUAAACGAUGAACACUAGGUGUCGGGGGAAUCGACCCCCUCGGUGUCGUAGCCAACGCGUUAAGUGUUCCGCCUGGGGAGUACGCACGCAAGUGUGAAACUCAAAUGAAUUGACGG